UUAAGCAAAGAAGAGCGCAGGGUGGAUGCCUUGGCACUAAGAGCCGAAGAAAGACGUGAUAAGCUGCGAAAAGCUGCGGGGAGAUGCAAAUAAUCCUUGAUCCGCAGAUGUCUGAAUGGGGAAACCCGGUACGAAGAACUCGUAUCAUCCAUACGCCAAUCCAUAACGUAUGGAGGGGAACCCGGUGAACUGAAACAUCUAAGUAGCCGGAGGAAGAGAAAGAAACAUCGAUUUUGUUAGUAGCGGCGAGCGAAAGCGAAAGAGGCCAAACCGGAGUGCGUGCACUCCGGGGUUCGGACCGCAUUUAAGAUUCAGUGAUUCUAGCAGAAAGGUUUGGGAAAGCCUGCCGGAGAGGGUGAAAGCCCCGUAAGCGAAAGGAGAGCUGACUGAGCGGAAUCCAGAGUACAUCGAGACACGAGAAACCUUGAUGGAAUGAGCGGGGACCACCCCGUAAGCCUAAAUACUACUUAGUGACCGAUAGCGCAUAGUACUGUGAAGGAAAGGUGAAAAGGACCCCGGGAGGGGAGUGAAAGAGAACCUGAAACCCUGUGUCUACAAGCUGUGGAAGUACUUUAUAUGUACGACCGCGUACUUUUUGUAGAACGGUCCGGCGAGUUACGCUUACUGGCAAGGUUAAGCACUUAAGGUGCGGAGCCGAAGGGAUACCAAGUCUUAACAGGGCGUUAAGUCAGUAUACGCAGACCCGAAACCGGGUGAUCUAUCCAUGUCCAGGUUGAAGUUGCCGUAAAAGGCAAUGGAGGACCGAACCCACAUCCGUUGAAAAGGGUGGGGAUGAGGUGUGGAUAGGGGAGAAAUUCCAAUCGAACCCGGAGAUAGCUGGUUCUCCUCGAAAUAGCUUUAGGGCUAGCCUCAUAUAAGUCUUGCGGAGGUAGAGCACUGAAUUUCCUAGGGGGCGUCAAAGCCUACCGAAGAAUAUCAAACUCCGAAUGCCGCGUAAUCGAUUAUCGGGAGUCAGACUGCACGAGAUAAGUUGGGCGGUCAAAAGGGAAAGAGCCCAGACCUUCAGUUAAGGUCCCCAAGUGCGCGUUAAGUGGAAAAGGAUGUGGGAUUUCGAAGACAACCAGGAUGUUGGCUCAGAAGCAGCCAUACAUUCAAAGAGUGCGUAAUAGCUCACUGGUCGAGAGGUCCUGCGCCGAAAAUGUCCGGGGCUGAAACGCGCCACCGAAACUAAGGAAUCUGAAAAGAUUGGUAGAGGAGCAUUGCAUGCGGGAAGAAGCAGUACCGGAAGGAGCUGUGGACUGCAUGGAAGAGAGAAUGCCGGAAUGAGUAGCGAGAUAGAGGUGGGAAUCCUCUAGGCCGAAUAUCCAAGGUUUCCAGAGUAAAGCUGAUCUGCUCUGGGUAAGUCGGGGCCUAAGCACAGGUCGCAAGACGUAAGCGAUGGAUAACAGGUUUAGAUUCCUGUACCACGCAUUAUCAGAACUGUAGGGACGCAUGUGGAAAGCACGAGCCGGGAAUGGAAAGACCGGUACAAGCGGGGUAGGUGUACAACAGGCAAAUCCGUUGUAUAAUCCGAAGACGUGAUGUGGAGCGAAAUAAAGUAGCAAAGCGUGUGAGCCAUGUGCCGAGAAAAGCUGCUAUUGUGUAAUGCGUGCCCGUACCGUAAACCGACACAGGUGGAUGAGGAGAGAAUCCUAAGGCCGGCGGAAGAAGCAUUGUUAAGGAAUUCGGCAAAAUGACCCCGUAACUUCGGGAGAAGGGGUGCCUGCGAGAGCAGGCCGCAGAGAAUAGGCUCAAGCAACUGUUUAGCAAAAACACAGGUCUAUGCGAAACCGAAAGGUGAGGUAUAUGGGCUGACGCCUGCCCGGUGCUGGAAGGUUAAGAGGAGAGGUUAGCGCAAGCGAAGCUUUGAAUUUAAGCCCCAGUAAACGGCGGCCGUAACUAUAACGGUCCUAAGGUAGCGAAAUUCCUUGUCGGGUAAGUUCCGACC
rnacentral:rRNA from 1 species